GCCUUGGUAGCCCAGUGGAUAGGGCGUCCGCCCUCUAAGCGGAUGGUCGUGGGUUCGAAUCCCAUCCAAGGCG
rnacentral:tRNA from 1 species